rnacentral:rRNA from 1 species
UACGAAGGGGGCUAGCGUUGCUCGGAAUUACUGGGCGUAAAGCGCACGUAGGCGGCUUUCUAAGUCGGGGGUGAAAUCCUGGAGCUCAACUCCAGAACUGCCUUCGAUACUGGAGAGCUCGAGUCCGGGAGAGGUGAGUGGAACUGCGAGUGUAGAGGUGAAAUUCGUAGAUAUUCGCAAGAACACCAGUGGCGAAGACGGCUCACUGGCCCGGUACUGACGCUGAGGUGCGAAAGCGUGGGGAGCAAACAGG